GAAGCUACAUUUUGUACAAAAGACACUCAGGAAAUUUGUUAAGCGAAGGAAUGAAGUAUACGCCUGUCCCUCCGGUUGACUUAGCAGAAUAACCCCUUGGAUGCACUGUCAGUUGGAUGCCUGUAUUUAACCUUGAGUAGCCUGGUCUCAGCAUCUGCAAAUCCAGGUUGCUUCUCCAUGAUCAUCCUGACUCCUUCUCCCAUGUCUCCCUCAGCCUCCUUCUCAUCCUGGGCAUAUUAUAUUAUCCAGGGAAGGAAAGGAAGAUGAAGUCACAUGUUAAAAGGGAAAAAACUAAAUACAGCAUACUAGAAUUUGAACCCAUGUGGGUCCAAUUUUAAAGUUCAUUUCUUCAUGCUCUGUGCUAUACUCCAUUAGAUAAUGUCACUAAUGAUAAUGGAAAGGGUAACCAUCACAUGAUUUUGUCAGAAGAAUUAUGAAAUAUCUGGCAAGGAUGCUCU